rnacentral:rRNA from 1 species
AUGGUUAAGUGACUAAGCGUACAGGGUGGAUGCCUAGGCAGUUAGAGGCGAUGAAGGACGUGCUAAUCUGCGAUAAGCAUUGGUGAGGUGAUAAGAACCGCUUGAGCCAAUGAUUUCCGAAUGGGGAAACCCACUGACAUAAGUCAGUAUCGUUACGUGAAUACAUAGCGUAACGAGGCGAACCGGGAGAACUGAAACAUCUAAGUACCCCGAGGAACAGAAAUCAAUUGAGAUUUCCUCAGUAGCGGCGAGCGAACGGGAAAGAGCCCAGUGUGUUUAUCAGCGGUUGGUAUAGUGGAAGGCUCUGGAAAGUGCCGCGAUACAGGGUGAUAGUCCCGUACAUGAAAUGCCAGCUGUUGUUGCACACGAUGAGUAGGUCGGGACACGUGGUAUCUUGACUGAAUAUGGGGGGACCAUCCUCCAAGGCUAAAUACUCCUAACUGACCGAUAGUGAACCAGUACCGUGAGGGAAAGGCGAAAAGAACCCCGGCGAGGGGAGUGAAAUAGAACCUGAAACCCUGUACGUACAAGCAGUAGGAGCACCUUCGUGGUGUGACUGCGUACCUUUUGUAUAAUGGGUCAGCGACUUAUAUUUUGUGGCGAGGUUAACCGAAUAGGGGAGCCGUAGGGAAACCGAGUCUUAACUGGGCGUCCAGUCGCAAGGUAUAGACCCGAAACCCGGUGAUCUAGUCAUGGGCAGGUUGAAGGUGCCGUAACAGGUACUGGAGGACCGAACCCACUACUGUUGCAAAAGUAGGGGAUGACCUGUGAUUAGGGGUGAAAGGCCAAUCAAACCGGGAGAUAGCUGGUUCUCCUCGAAAGCUAUUUAGGUAGCGCCUCGGACGAAUACCUUGGGGGGUAGAGCACUGUUUGGGCUAGGGGGUCAUCCCGACUUACCAAACCCAUGCAAACUCCGAAUACCCAAGAGUACUAUCCGGGAGACAGACAGCGGGUGCUAACGUCCGUUGUCAAAAGGGAAACAACCCAGACCGUCAGCUAAGGUCCCCAAGUCAUAGCUAAGUGGGAAACGAUGUGGAAAGGCUUAGACAGCUAGGAGGUUGGCUUAGAAGCAGCCACCCUUUAAAGAAAGCGUAAUAGCUCACUAGUCGAGUCGGUCUGCGCGGAAGAUGUAACGGGGCUAAGCUAUGCACCGAAGCUACGGGUUCACGCUUAUGCGUGAGCGGUAGAGGAGCGUUCUGUAAGCCUGCGAAGGUGUGUCGGGAGGCAUGCUGGAGGUAUCAGAAGUGCGAAUGCUGACAUGAGUAACGUUAAUGGGGGUGAAAAACCUCCACGCCGGAAGACCAAGGGUUCCUGUCCAACGUUAAUCGGGGCAGGGUGAGUCGGCUCCUAAGGCGAGGGCGAAAGCCGUAGUCGAUGGGAAACAGAUUAAUAUUUCUGUACUUCUAUGCAAUGCGAUGGGGGGACGGAGAAGGCUAGGCAGGCAUGGCGUUGGUUGUCCAUGUGAAAGUGCGUAGGGAGAGUGCUUAGGUAAAUCCGGGCGCUUAAUUCCGAGACACGAGACGAGUGACUACGGUCACGAAGCUGUUGAUGCCACGCUUCCAGGAAAAGCCUCUAAGCUUCAGUUGCAUAGGAACCGUACCCCAAACCAACACUGGUGGUCAGGUAGAGAAUACUAAGGCGCUUGAGAGAACUCGGGUGAAGGAACUAGGCAAAAUAGUACCGUAACUUCGGGAGAAGGUACGCUCUUGUUUGUGAAGGACUUGCUCCGUAAGCAGACGAGAGUCGCAGUGACCAGAUGGCUGGGACUGUUUAUCAAAAACACAGCACUGUGCAAACUCGAAAGAGGACGUAUACGGUGUGACACCUGCCCGGUGCCGGAAGGUUAAUUGAUGGGGUUAGCCGUAAGGUGAAGCUCUUGAUCGAAGCCCCGGUAAACGGCGGCCGUAACUAUAACGGUCCUAAGGUAGCGAAAUUCCUUGUCGGGUAAGUUCCGACCUGCACGAAUGGUGUAACCAUGGCCAUGCUGUCUCCAUCCGAGACUCAGUGAAAUUGAAAUCGCUGUGAAGAUGCAGUGUACCCGCGGCUAGACGGAAAGACCCCGUGAACCUUUACUACAGCUUGACACUGAACAUUGAGCCUACUUGUGUAGGAUAGGUGGGAGGCUAUGAAACCCGGACGCCAGUUCGGGUGGAGCCAACCUUGAAAUACCACCCUGGUAUGUUUGAUGUUCUAACUUAGACCCGUUAUCCGGGUUGAGGACAGUGUCUGGUGGGUAGUUUGACUGGGGCGGUCUCCUCCUAAAGCGUAACGGAGGAGCACGAAGGUUGGCUAAUCCUGGUCGGACAUCAGGAGGUUAGUGCAAUGGCAUAAGCCAGCUUAACUGCGAGACAGACACGUCGAGCAGGUACGAAAGUAGGUCAUAGUGAUCCGGUGGUUCUGAAUGGAAGGGCCAUCGCUCAACGGAUAAAAGGUACUCCGGGGAUAACAGGCUGAUACCGCCCAAGAGUUCAUAUCGACGGCGGUGUUUGGCACCUCGAUGUCGGCUCAUCACAUCCUGGGGCUGAAGUCGGUCCCAAGGGUAUGGCUGUUCGCCAUUUAAAGUGGUACGCGAGCUGGGUUCAGAACGUCGUGAGACAGUUCGGUCCCUAUCUGCCGUGGGCGUUGGAUGAUUGAAGGGAGUUGCUCCUAGUACGAGAGGACCGGAGUGAACGAACCUCUGGUGUUCGGGUUGUCACGCCAGUGGCACUGCCCGGUAGCUAAGUUCGGAAUCGAUAACCGCUGAAAGCAUCUAAGCGGGAAGCGAGCCCUGAGAUGAGUCAUCCCUGAGACUUCGAGUCUCCUAAAGGGUCGUUGAAGACUACGACGUUGAUAGGCUGGGUGUGUAAGCGUAGCGAUACGUUGAGCUAACCAGUACUAAUUGCCCGUGCGGCUUAACCAUACAACACCCAAAGGGUUUUGUGGGACGCCAAAGUAAGGCGAGAAACUCAAA